rnacentral:ncRNA from 1 species
GAGACCGGCUCAAAAAGCGUCCGUUAUGGAUGCCUGCCCUAGUAGGGAUAGAGCCGGUUUCGCCU